rnacentral:rRNA from 1 species
UACGUAGGGGGCGAGCGUUGUCCGGAAUCAUUGGGCGUAAAGCGCACGUAGGCGGAUUGUUAAGUCGGGGGUGAAAUCCUGGAGCUCAACUCCAGAACUGCCUUCGAUACUGGCGAUCUCGAGUCCGGGAGAGGUGAGUGGAACUGCGAGUGUAGAGGUGAAAUGCGCAGAUAUCGGGAGGAACACCCGUAGCGAAGGCGGCACUCUGGGCCGGAACUGACGCUGAGGAGCGAAAGCGUGGGGAGCAAACAGG